rnacentral:rRNA from 1 species
ACGCUGGCGGCGUGCUUAACACAUGCAAGUCGAGCGGAAAGGCUCCUUCGGGGGUACUCGAGCGGCGAACGGGUGAGUAACACGUGAGUAAUCUGCCCUUGGCUUCGGGAUAACUACCGGAAACGGUGGCUAAUACCGGAUAUGACCACUCCUUGCAUGAGGUGGUGGUGGAAAGUUUUUUCGGCCAGGGAUGUGCUCGCGGCCUAUCAGCUUGUUGGUGGGGUAAUGGCCUACCAAGGCUUCGACGGGUAGCCGGCCUGAGAGGGUGACCGGCCACACUGGGACUGAGACACGGCCCAGACUCCUACGGGAGGCAGCAGUGGGGAAUAUUGGACAAUGGGCGGAAGCCUGAUCCAGCAACGCCGCGUGAGGGAUGACGGCCUUCGGGUUGUAAACCUCUUUCAGUACCGACGAAGCGCCGAUGAUGGUGGUGACGGUAGGUACAGAAGAAGCACCGGCCAACUACGUG